GUGCUUUUUCAGCUUAUAUACUAUAAAUGGAAAGAUAUGGAGAAGAUCAUCAUGGUUUCUGGGCAAGGAUGACAAGCAGAUUCAUGCAGCAUCCCAUAUUUUU